rnacentral:lncRNA from 1 species
AAUGAAUAUAUAAUUAUAUAAUUAUUAUACAGCCCCAGUUAUAAUGGUUGCUUCGUCUGCCCCUGUAUGCUAUAAAACAUUAUCCUGGUCUGUCUUCACUGUAGGGUCCUAGAGGUGAGCGAGGACCUCCUGGUCUUCCUGGAACCCCAGUAAGUUUCUACUUUGCCAGUUAUUUUCCAGAUUGUCUCCUAAAAGGUCAUUUCUGGCAGGGUUGUCUUUUUAGCCUACUUUUCUUAGAAACUGAGACAGAGUGACCCCAGAUGGCUUUCAGAGUGCAGUCCGUAUCAUAUAGAGACAAACUAAUGUUUCGCACUUUUUACAGAACUGCAGCAAACAGAGAACUGUUCUGCAUGACUUUAUUUAGUCACUAGUAUUUAAUCCCACAAAUGCAGUCUGUGUUUGCACUUUCUUUUAGGUUCAGUGUUUUCAGUUAGAAUGAACCAAGAAGGGAGAAGAGUAAAUUACUCUUUGCUGUGAGGUUAGAGAGGCCUCUACAGGUUUGCCCCAGAAUUGCAGAAUGCUUUCCAAAAUAGUCUCAAAUUUUUUCUAGUUUCACUGUCAUAUGUAUAUAUAUAUAUGACAUAAGCGUUGAACCAGUGAACCACACAAAUCUUUUUUUUUUUUCUGUGCUGUACAUUUCGUCUCACUUUACUAGUACCAAGUAUUCAAAAACUAGCAAAACAUGCUGUAUGACUGAGAAAUGAAGAGGAAGAUUGGAUGCAUGUGCGAGGGUCUUCUUUACAGGAUUGUUUAUAUUUGUUUGUUUCUUGUUUUUGUCCAUUGUAAAGGAAUAUAUAUUUUAACUGUUGCUCUCUUAUUAUCAUUGUUUAUUAGGGCAAUAUUGGUUUCCCUGGUCCUCAAGGGCCUCCUGGACUGCCUGGUCAACAAGGUCAGAGAGGGACAGACGGACUUCCAGGACAGAAAGGUGAACAGGUGAGUAUCUUAAGAAUAUAUACUAAAAAGGAGCCCAUGGACAGUUUGCUGUAUUAUUGAGUUACUUUUGUUAUUUUCACAAAGGCUCCACCAGGAAAUCCUGGCUAUCCUGGAACCAUGGGACCGCCUGGCCUCCCUGUAAGUGGUAUCAACAAUUGACCAUUGACAACUGACCAGAUGCAGAGACAUCAUAUAUUAAUGUUUAGACAUGUUGUAUAACUGCUAAUUGUUUGAUUGGUGGGUUAAAGUCAUAAUGCGUUUUUCCUAGGGCCUUAAAGGAGAGCGUGGCAGUCCAGGAACUGCAGGGC